rnacentral:rRNA from 1 species
GAAUUGACGGGGACCCGCACAAGCGGUGGAGCGUGUGGUUUAAUUCGAUGCUAAGCGAAGGACCUUACCAAGGUUUGACAUGCUAAUGGUAGUGAAUUGAAAGAGGAACGACCACACUAUGUGUGGAGUUAGCACAGGUGGUGCACGGCCGUCGUCAGCUCGUGUCGUGAGGUGUUGGGUUAAGUCCCGCAACGAGCGCAACCCCUGCUCUUAGUUACCAGCGGUAAGGCCGGGUACUCUAAGAGGACCGCCGCCGACGAGGCGGAGGAAGGGGGGGAUGAAGUCAGGUAUCGUGCCCCUUAUAUCUUGGGCGACACACGCGCUACAAUGGGUUGGACAGAAGGGACCAAGACAGCGAUGUGGAGGAAAUCCUCAAACCAACCCCCAGUUCAGAUUGCAGGCUGAAACCCGCCUGCAUGAAGCCGGAAUCGCUAGUAAUCGCAGAUCAGCCAAGCUGCGGUGAAUACGUUCCCGGGUCUUGUACACACCG